AGUCGUAACAAGGUUUCCGUAGGUGAACCUGCGGAAGGAUCAUUACCGAGUGAGGGCUGCCUCCGGGCGCCCAACCUCCCACCCGUGAAUACCUAACACUGUUGCUUCGGCGGGGAGCCCUCUCGGGGGCGAGCCGCCGGAGACCACUGAACUUCAUGCCUGUAGUGAUGAGUCUGAGCCUAAAUGAAAAUUUAGUCAAAACUUUCAACAAUGGAUCUCUUGGUUCCGGCAUCGAUGAAGAACGCAGCGAACUGCGAUAAGUAAUGUGAAUUGCAGAAUUCAGUGAAUCAUCGAGUCUUUGAACGCACAUUGCGCCCCCUGGCAUUCCGGGGGGCAUGCCUGUCCGAGCGUCAUUGCUGCCCUUCAAGCCCGGCUUGUGUGUUGGGUCGUCGUCCCCCCCGGGGGACGGGCCCGAAAGGCAGCGGCGGCACCGUGUCCGGUCCUCGAGCGUAUGGGGCUUUGUCACCCGCUCGAUUAGGGCGCGGCCGGGCGCCAGCCGGCGUCUCCAACCUUAUUUUUCUCAGGUUGACCUCGGAUCAGGUAGGGAUACCCGCUGAACCUAAGCAUAUCA
rnacentral:misc_RNA from 1 species